UCGAAAAGGAGGAAAUUCUGUUUUGUGAUGAGGCUGACACUGGCCCAGUUAAUACCCAGCCGAAAAUGGUCUCUUGCCCCAAGAGAGAGCCACAGAUGUUGGUUUUUGCUCCACUCAGAAGUACCGAAGGCAGAAUGUCGGCUCCGAUAAGGACAUCUAUUUGUGCGCUCUCAUAGAAUUUUGGAUCCGCCAGUGGAAAACCGGAAAGAUCCCGAAGCAAAUCUUGCGGAAUUGGGUAGGAAGGCAGAUUUCCGGCUAGUUAAGGGAGGAUAUAGGCCGUCGUCUCCAACUGCAAUGCGGGCCUAGUCGUAGAUCGGACGGUGAGACUUGGGCUUGAACCACCUGGAAUGGCAAUCUGAUUAGAUUGAACAGUCACUCGGUUAUGAAUGUUGCCUCUGAUCCGGAGUCGAUCAGAGCGCGUGCCUUAAAGUUAGUGCCCAAAUGGGAAAAAUUGAUCACGGCAGUGCCAAGAAGGAUAGCUCUUGAGCCCGUGGCGAAAUAAUUUUGAACACCGGCAUGCUCAUUAGAAACGAAACGGCUUUAUUAGCAUAAAUUAGCCUUGCAGGAUUUGAAGGACUUGAAUUGCUGGAAAAGGGGUUGUUUCGGUGCAACAACGUGUGAUGCCGGUCACGGCAAGUAAAACAAUUGUGCGUGCUUUUGCACUCACGAAGCUGAUGUCCCUUUGCAAAGCAGAUUAAGGAUAACUGCUUCCUUUUAAUGUAGGCUGACCGGUCGUCAACCGACAUUUGGAGAAACCGCGGACAUACAUGGACAGGAUGGUUUUCCUUGUUGGACAGAUCGCAACUUUUGGAUUUUUGAGCCACUUUCGUCUCGUAGAAAUUUAUUUUUCUAGAGGGCCUACUUGAAUUUAUCGCUUUGGAGUGCGACUGACUUGGUACGGUCGGUCUGACAUCACCUAUGGCCUCUAGGGUUCGAUGGCGUUCUAUGAGGAAGGUGUUCAGCUCUACCCAUGUCGGGAUAUCGGCUUUCUUAUAAACUGCUCCCAUAAGGAGAGAGUUAUCUUCGGGAGGUUAGAUGAACACAGAUAUACCAGCAGGCAGUCCCAGUUCUCUAUGUUGAUGCCUGACAUUUCUAAGGCAGUCAAGCAACCUUGAACAGUACUUUGCAGUAUCUUCAAGGCCCCUCUAGAUUCCUGUGGUAUCGACUGCACAUAAAACAUGAUUUUCCAUUGACUGUUUACCAACAAUCGUUUAUUUUCGAAACGCUCUGUUAGGUUCUCCCACGCAGAUCGGAAACCCUCGUUGGUGAGAGGCGAAAUCGAAACGAUGGCAUGCGCGUCGCCACUUGUUUUGGCAUUUAUAUGCAAUAACUUUUCAACCGGAGUCAGCCGUGGAAUUUUGAUAUAAAUGGCUGUAAAAAGAUCCCGGAAAGUCUGCCAGCGAAGAUACUCACCUGCGAAAACUUCUGUAUCGCAUGGAGGCAAUCGACAGCCAGAGGAAAUACAGGCCUUGGCCGCAGCGUUCUGGGCUGGGAUGGACUGAGACGUGCCCUGUUCGAUUUUAUCAACGAGCUGGGCAACACCUUUCAUAGACUGAAUAGCAAUAACUGUAUUUAGCCCUGAGAAUAGGCAUGUUGCCUGCUACUGCUUCGCCUGCUGACACAAGGCACUCGGAGCAGAUGUCGAAUUCUGAAGUGGCGCUUGUCACAGUUUUGGGAUAGUCCGAAAGUAGCAUUAUCGGGGUUAGGAACUUGCUUUCAGUAUGGCCACCUACCCAUUAACCUAUAUCUACCAAUGCAGUCUGGGUUAGAACCCAGAUAGACGAAAUUGCAAGCUUACACUGUAAUAGAUAAAAAAACGCAACCUGGGCAUACUAGUGAACGCCAUGCCGGUCGUUCUCUUUCCGUUUUAACCUUGGAGGUGAUCAGACGUACAGGUGCGACCAACCAAAAAAACACACCCACGUUUUCUUGCUAAUUUUUUUUAUAUUUCGAUAUUCUUCGGUGAGUAAGUUUCUAAAGUGAAAUUCGCUUUUGCUAAUUAUUUUCGUCUUUAGUACCCAAGCCCAGAUUAGAAAUCCCAAAAAACUGUAUUUAAAUUUGGGGUUAUUUCGGUGCCAGAUCAAAGCUUCUGGCACCUUGUGCUACCCACAAGCAACCGCCGGCUCCAAGCCGUACCACCAGAGCAGCACGUCCAGCAGAGUAGCCGAUGCACAUCGAUCAUCAGAACAUCUCUUUUGGCCGCAGCCAUCGGAUGACCUAUGUUCAAGUGUUAUUAGUGUGAAUUAAUCUACCCCCCGCAAAAG